CAUAAGGUCAUCCUUUAUUAUGGAUAUACAUCUGUAUAUAUGAAAGAGGGGAAAACUAUGGAAAAGCUAUUAUGAUGUUUUAUUUAAUCUCCAAUUUAAAAUAAAUUGUCAACAUCUAGUUGUCCAAGCUCGGGUUCUAGUAGAAAACUAUUUAAAGGCUUCUCGGAGAGGCUUUUAGCUUUGAUGUCCAGAUUUAGGUACUAGCAGCCGGCGUUGAUGUAAUUCCUAUUUUUCAGGAUUGAUCUAGAAUAGGGUGAGCUCGUUGUCGCCCAAGGAUGAUCCUCCAAUAUCUGUUCCAGGGUAUCUUAAGAUAUUUUCAGUAUAAACAAGGA